rnacentral:rRNA from 1 species
GUGGCAGCCGCCGCGGUAAUACGUAGGGUGCGAGCGUUAAUCGGAAUUACUGGGCGUAAAGAGCGCGUAGGCGGGAAUUUAAGUCAGGGGUGUAAACUGCCGGCUCAACCGGGAGCUUGCUUCUGAAACUGGAUUUCCUGAGGGUAUGAGAGGGAAGCGGAAUUCCUAGUGUAGCGGUGAAAUGCGUAGAUAUUAGGAGGAACACCAGUGGCGAAGGCGGCUUCCUGGCAUACAACUGACGCUGAGGCGCGAAAGCGUGGGGGGAAAACGGGAUUAGAUACCCCGGUAGUCCACCCCGUAA